rnacentral:rRNA from 1 species
AUUGAACGCUGGCGGUAUGCUUAACACAUGCAAGUCGAACGACGAGAAAGAGCUUGCUCUUUCGAUUAGUGGCGGACGGGUGCGUAACGCGUAGGAAUCUACCUAUUAGUGGGGGACAACUUAGGGAAACUUAAGCUAAUACCGCAUACGCCCUACGGGGGAAAGAAGGGGAUCGCAAGACCUUUUGCUAAUAGAUGAGCCUGCGUAGGAUUAGCUAGUUGGUGGGGUAAAAGCUCACCAAGGCGACGAUCCUUAACUGGUUUGAGAGAAUGAUCAGUCACACUGGAACUGAGACACGGUCCAGACUCCUACGGGAGGCAGCAGUGGGGAAUAUUGGACAAUGGGCGAAAGCCUGAUCCAGCAAUACCGCGUGUGUGAAGAAGGCCUUAGGGUUGUAAAGCACUUUCAAUUGGAAGGAAAACCUCGAAGCUAAUACCUUCGAGUUUGACAUUACCUUUAGAAGAAGCACCGGCUAACUCCGUGCCAGCAGCCGCGGUAAGAC